CUUGUGUGCGAGUCGUAGGUCGAUGAGAAGACCGAUGGCGGAAUGAAAGUUAAGGUAUUGCUUGCAAUGCUGAUGGGAGAUCCUUCUCCACUGGAGAGGGCGCAUCCCAGGGGCGUCGUGAUCCCGUUGCGGAUGCGACGCACCUAGAGCACACAUGAUGGGACCCGAAAGAUGGUGACCUAUGCCUGGCCAGGUCGAAGUCAGGGGAAACCCUGAUGGAGGACCGAAGCGAUUCUGACGUGCAAAUCGAUCGUCGGAGCUUGGUAUAGGGGCGAAAGACUAAUCGAACCAUCUAGUAGCUGGUUCCUCCCGAAGUUUCCCUCAGGAUAGCUGGCACUCAAGCAAAGGAGACGGGAGUCUCAUCCGGUAAAGCGAAUGAUUAGAGGCCUUGGGGCCGUAACGGCCUCAACCUAUUCUCAAACUUUCAAUGGGUGAGAUGCCUUGCCGACCGUGGUGUUGUUAGCGGCAAGGAUUUCGGAUCCGAGUGCCCAGUGGGCCACUUUUGGUAAGCAGAACUGGCGCUGUGGGAUGAACCAAAUGUCCGGUUAAAGCGCCAAAACCAAUGCAUAUUCCCGAUCCCACGGAAAGGAGUUGGUUGCUUCAGACAG
rnacentral:rRNA from 1 species